UACGAGGGGAGCAAGCGUUGUUCGGAUUUACUGGGCGUAAAGGGCGCGUAGGCGGUCGUGACAAGUCACUUGUGAAAUCUCCGGGCUUAACUCGGAACGGUCAAGUGAUACUGUCGGACUAGAGUACAGAAGGGGCAACUGGAAUUCUCGGUGUAGCGGUGAAAUGCGUAGAUAUCGAGAGGAACACCUGCGGCGAAGGCGGGUUGCUGGGCUGAUACUGACGCUGAUGCGCGAAAGCGUGGGGAGCGAACAGG
rnacentral:rRNA from 1 species